rnacentral:tRNA from 1 species
UGCGACUGCCGGGACUCGGACCCGGUUCACCUGCUUGGAAGGCAGAUAUAAUACCCUUAUACCACAACCGC